rnacentral:tRNA from 1 species
CGGGGUGUGGCGCAGUUUGGUAGCGCACUUGGUUUGGGACCAAGGGGCCGGAAGUUCAAAUCUUCUCACCCCGACCA